rnacentral:pre_miRNA from 1 species
AAUAGGAGCAUAGCAAAUUAGAUUUUUCCUUCUGAUUUUCAGCUUUUUUCUCUUGAAAAAAAAUUCAAAACCAACUAAAAAUACUAAAAUUAGGAGGAAAACUAUGAUUUGUCAUACUCUUAUU